CCAGGUAAUACUCCUGGAACAGCCCACUCACCACUAAGAUCCUUGUUGGACUUCGAGGGACCCUCCCCCAUCAAGUCUCACGUCAGGUGUUCUGAUGGAAAAUCCUGCUUCCUCAGUGUUGCUUAGAAAUUACAACAAGCUUGAAUCUGAAGAAUCUGUCUCCAGAAACAUAAUUGGACCAUGCAAGAAAGAGAAAAAGGAUGACAGAGGAAAUGGCAUGAUCUACAGAUCUUUGUUUACAAGAACAUUUUCCCAUCAACUGUCUUUAGAAAUAUAAUUUCCAUUUUGCCUUAAAGAACAGUCAGACAAUGUUGUUUAACACAUAUUCUUCCUUGUCAAACAUUUCACUUAUUCCACAUGUUGUAGACAGCUUAAUAAGAGGUAUUUCACCCUUAGAAUGUUGCUAAAGCUGUAUGUCAUUUUCUUCCCAUUUCACAUGACAUUUGUUGCAGCAAGAGAACCAGAUACCUCAUAAGUAACAUCACCUUUGGCAAUUUUAACUCCAUUCAUGCUUCUGUCCUUAGCAAAAAUGAAAAGAAAAUCGCAUCCAUUUUUUACAUUAUUUUUUUUAACAGCCUUAAGUACUUACAAAUUAGGUGAAAGUUGCAUCUUUUUGCUCCCUAUUAUUAAGUAAGUGUAAUCAAGAGGGGUCCAUGUUGAUGGGAGGUGUCAAUACAAAAUACAUUUGAUGUAACCUUAUAACUUGC